AUUGAACGCUGGCGGCAUGCCUUACACAUGCAAGUCGAACGGCAGCACGGGAGCAAUCCUGGUGGCGAGUGGCGAACGGGUGAGUAAAGUAUCGGAACGUGCCCAGUCGUGGGGGAUAACGUAGCGAAAGUUACGCUAAUACCGCAUACGAUCUAUGGAUGAAAGCGGGGGAUCGCAAGACCUCGCGCGAUUGGCGCGGCCGAUAUCAGAUUAGGUAGUUGGUGGGGUAAAGGCACACCAAGCCGACGAUCUGUAGCUGGUCUGAGAGGACGACCAGCCACACUGGGACUGAGACACGGCCCAGACUCCUACGGGAGGCAGCAGUGGGGAAUUUUGGACAAUGGGCGAAAGCCUGAUCCAGCCAUGCCGCGUGCAGGAUGAAGGCCUUCGGGUUGUAAACUGCUUUUGUACGGAACGAAAAGGUUUGGCCUAAUAAGCUGAGCUCAUGACGGUACCGUAAGAAUAAGCACCGGCUAACUACGUGCCAGCCGCCGCGGUAA
rnacentral:rRNA from 1 species